rnacentral:rRNA from 1 species
AGAGUUUGAUCAUGGCUCAGAUUGAACGCUGGCGGCAUGCUUUACACAUGCAAGUCGAACGGCAGCACAGGGAGCUUGCUCCCGGGUGGCGAGUGGCGCACGGGUGAGUAAUACAUCGGAACGUGUCCUGGUUGUGGGGGAUUAACUGCUCGAAAGGGUGGCUAAUACCGCAUGAGACCUGAGGGUGAAAGCGGGGGAUCGCAAGACCUCGCGCAAUUGGAGCGGCCGAUGCCCGAUUAGCUAGUUGGUGAGGUAAAGGCUCACCAAGGCGACGAUCGGUAGCUGGUCUGAGAGGACGACCAGCCACACUGGGACUGAGGCACGGCCCAGACUCCUACGGGAGGCAGCA